UACGGGGGAGCAAGCGUUGUUCGGAUUUACUGGGCGUAAAGGGCGCGUAGGCGGCCACCGCAAGUCAAUUGUGAAAUCUCCGGGCUUAACUCGGAAAGGUCAACUGAUACUGCGGGGCUAGAGUGCAGAAGGGGCAACUGGAAUUCUCGGUGUAGCGGUGAAAUGCGUAGAUAUCGAGAGGAACACCUGCGGCGAAGGCGGGUUGCUGGGCUGACACUGACGCUGAGGCGCGAAAGCCAGGGGAGCAAACGGG
rnacentral:rRNA from 1 species